rnacentral:rRNA from 1 species
GAUCUAAAGGUCCUAGAGAUAGGGAGAUAGUUAUAGAGAAGACAGGUGGUGCAUGGUUGUCGUCAGCUCGUGUCGUGAGAUGUUGGGUUAAGUCCCGCAACGAGCGCAACCCUUGUCGUUAGUUACCAGCAGUAAGAUGGGGACUCUAACGAGACCGCCGGUGAGAAGCCGGAGGAAGACGGGGAUGACGUCAAAUCAUCAUGCCCCUUAUGACCUGGGCGACACACGUGCUACAAUGGUCGGUACAGAGAGAAGCGAAGCUGUGAAGUGGAGCGAAACUCAAAAAGCCGAUCGUAGUCCGGAUUGCAGUCUGCAACUCGACUGCAUGAAGCUGGAAUCGCUAGUAAUCGCAAGUCAGCCAUAUUGCGGUGAAUACGUUCUCGGGCCUUGUACACACCGCCCGUCACACCAUGAGAGUUGAUAACACCCGAAGCCGGUGGCCUAACGGAAACGAAGGAGCUGUCGAAGGUGGGAUUGAUGAUUGGGGUGAAGUCGUAACAAGGUAUCCCUACGGGAACGUGCG